GCGCUAGUAGUGAAGGGGUAUCAUGCAAGAUUCCCAUUCCAGCUACCUGGGUUUGAGUCCCGGCUAGCGCA